GCCUUCAUGGUAUAAUGGCCAGCACACUUGGUGCGUAUUCAAUAGGUCAGAGGUUCGAGUCCCGGUGAGGGCA
rnacentral:tRNA from 1 species